CAUGAGUGCAUCAAAUUUCAACGUGACAUCAUAAGUUCAUAACAGAGGACAUGACUGCUAAGCUUUCCCCAAAUUUAAAUUGGAACAACCCUUGAGUGUACCAAAUUUCAACAUGGCAUCAUAAGUUCAUAUCAGAGGACAUCUGUAACUGCUAAAUUUUCCCCAAAUUGUAAACGAGCUCCCCUUGAGUGUACAAAAUUUCAACAUGACAUCAUAAGUUCAUAAAAGAGGACAUCCGUAACUGCUAAGCUUUCCCCAGAUUUUAAAUGGGCUCCCCUUGAGUGUUCCAAUUUUCAACAUGACAUCAUGGGUUCAUAAAAGAGGACAUCUGUAACUGCUAAGCUUUCCCCAGAUUUUAAAUGACUUCAUACGCUAGCUAAGUUUAUUCAUCUACUACUUCGUAAAUUAUGUGGAAAUACAGAUCUCCAAACAGAACAACCGCCAGCUCAAACCAGUCAGACAAAAGUUACCGCAAAGCUCAUACGGGUUUCCGGUUCAACAUAUAGAUCAGCCGGAGGCAAAAUAAUUUAAAUCACGCCUAUAAUAACUACAAAUAACCACCAGAGAUUCAGCUACAAAUUCGGGAUCGAUUCGAAAAGCAUGUUCAACAAAUUCGUUGCAUCCACAUAUCACCACUCCACCAAUAAAUCUGCGCACACCGUGGACAUCAUCAAAUCCUCUAAGACUACAUCAAUCAACAUCAUCCCCUGGAUUGUACGGAGUAUUUGCCAAAAUCGGCAACGACCCACCAAAUUCUUCCCCACUACACGCGCCACACCCUAAAUCGGCCAAACGCAAGCAUCUCAGACGCGAUUCCGAACAAAUUUGAACACGGGGCGCGACCGCAUAAUAAGGAAACCGAAGACGAUUUCGAGUAAAAACCUAGCCGUUAGCCUAGCGCGACGAAUCCCCUCAACAGCUUUGCUC
rnacentral:lncRNA from 1 species